UACGAAGGGUGCAAGCGUUGUUCGGAAUUACUGGGCGUAAAGCGCGCGUAGGCGGGCUUGUGUGUCGAUUGUGAAAGCCCUGGGCUUAACCUGGGAAUGGCAGUCGAAACUGCAAGUCUUGAAUGUCUGAGAGGAUGGCGGAAUUCCCGGUGUAGUAGUGAAAUACGUAGAUAUCGGGAAGAACACCUGAGGCGAAGGCGGCUAUCUGGCGGCACAUUGACGCUGAUGUGCGAAAGCGUGGGGAGCAAACAGG
rnacentral:rRNA from 1 species